AUAACUAAUAGGUCAGGUAUUCAUUACAGAGUUCAUUACAGACUAAUUUCUUCCUGCCGAGGUUUUCAAAUGUUCACUGAUCAAUACCUGAGCACAAAGCUGACCAAAAAUGCUAAAGAAAGUGAGAAAGUGUUUAAAUUUUAACAAUAACGCACGUUUAACCCGUUUACGUGACGCGUCCGCCAUACAUGUCUUUGUGCAAGUUAAAGUAUUUUAAACACAUAUAUAAAGUAUUUUAACACAUACGUGAAAUAUAAUUAAUGCUGGCUUUAAGGCAAAUCACAUUAUCUGUCAGAGCUUCAUAGAAGUGAAAUUAGGAGAAUAGAAAAUGAAUCAGCAUCUGCUCACCUAUCAGGUUCGAGAAUUCAGCAGCACUGAGAUAUACAUGCAGUUAAGUGCUGGAAACAGAGACUUAACACAAACAUACCACACUGGAAUAUGAGACUCGGUUCUAAACUCUAAAGGCCACUGGGUCAAAGCCAAGACUAAUGAUCAACUUUCUAUUUUUUCUUACAAUCGAAGGCAUUUCAAUAAUAUAUACGUAACGUUUUUUUAACAAAAAGUCACACGUAAUCUACAGUUCUGAAGUUUAGCUUUAUAUGUGAAGGAUUAUGUAGAAAUAUUUGUAAUGCAUUAUGACUUCCAAACACACUAAAUAUUUGGGAAAAAAGGUGUAAUAAACUGGUAAGCAAAAGCUUUUCCUGCAGGGAAGGGAGUAAGCAAGAAAAACAAAAGUUCACACGUGGGCUUUGAAUCCUUAACACCAGGUCUGUUCAUCUCUCCCUUCCUCCUUCUAGCCUUCCGAAGCUGUGAAUGAUUAAGGAAAUAAAAACUGCAGCCACACCAUAAUGCUGCUCUGAAGGAAAUCUGGUUUCAAUAGAGAGGCUUCCUGUGAUAACAGGAAAUAGCAGUCAUUUUUGCAUACAUAUACGCACACGCACAGAGUUUAAGUUGGGGUGCUUUAUAUUGUAGGUGUUCAGAAAAUCAGAGAAGCCACAAUCUUUGUGGUUUAUAUAAUCAUGACUGCAGUGCAGUGCAGAAAAUCAUGCAGAUACGGGCCAGUGGCUUCAGUUAGCGUUCAAAAUUGAGAAAAAUGCGAUCUUAAUGAUUUUGAUGACAAUUCUGUGAAUAAACAUCACACAGCUGGUUGAUGAGAGCUCAAUGGGAAAUAGUCUGACUGGUCCGAUCUGACAGAAAGGAUACAGUAACUCUGAUACAAUUCUGGCAACACUAGAAAGCUGAUGAAGAUCAACAUCUUCUGCUGGCUAGUGCACAAGGACAACAAAGCAAAAGUCAUCUCAAUCAGGUUUCAUCAACAUCACAAUGAGUUCAGUGUUCUUCAGAGGCAUUCGCAUUGACCGGCUCUGAAUCCAAUAGAACACCUUUGUGAUAUUGUAAAACAGGAGAUUAAUACCAUGACAGUUCACCUGAAAAACCUGCAGGAAUUGCGAGAUGCAAUCGUAUCAACAAGGACCAGAAUCUGAAAUGCGUGUUUCUAAUAUCUUGUGGAAUCCGUUCCAACAACGAACUGAGGCUGAUUGGAGACCCAACCCUGAAUUAGUAUAGUCUAUAGUCUAUAGUCUAAGUGCUCUGUGAUAGACUACACACUACAAGAAGAGACCGGAUUUUCAUUUAAGGUUGUUAACAUAUACUGAUGAAACCCAUAUUGAAAUGGAGGACAAACUUAAGAGGGUGAGUGUGACAAAUGAGACCCAAGGUUCAACUCACAGGAAAGAGCUAUAGACAUUCGGUCCUUCACAUUGGACACCUGGGAAAUGGAACCAUGUGGUUAGUUUCUGCCCACAGCUAUGCCUCAAAAGCUUCCCAGAAACCCCUUUGCGCUAAGAUCUUCUUUCAUACAACUUCAGCUCAAUGUGUUACUCCGAACUCACCCCUGCUUUUCUCUCCAAUAAACCGUACAUGCACUGAAAAACAAUCACCAAGUAGAAAUCCAGAUUAGAAGCACAGUAACUCAAUAUUUACUCCCACAUCUGUGGGCUUGAAGUAAAAAUCAAGAAAUAGCUUUCCAUAAAGUAACGUUCAUAUUAUACUAUUGCAAUAAAGAAAAGAACAUAUAAUGAUUUCACUGAAAAAUUAUGUAAUAACCAAUGCUACAACGAAUGAAAAAAAAAACAAAAAACAUUUAUUAGUAUAUAUAGUAUAUAUAAAACUAUUAGUCACGCAGAUGUUGGUUAUACAUUGAGGUCUGUUGUUUUAACCCCUACAUGCACUGUUGAUAUUUUUCUGGAUUUACACCUAUUUCUGAAUGUUUUGUAAUUCUGUGGAUGAUUCUGAUAGCAAAUACAGAUAGCAGUCGAUUUGGAAUGACCUAUUAUAGAUCCAGCACAUGCUUUGAUUAGUCAAGUCUGUUAGUGAUUUCACACAGAAACUGCAAUGGAAAUAAAUACAUUCUUUUUAAGCAAAACUAAUGAACGUUAGUGGAAAGAAUUAGAAUCUUAAAAACAGUAGAGAUGAUCUUUCCAAAACCUUGGCUGGAACACAUCUGGAAUCAAAUUUGUGAUUUCUAAUUUUCCAUCCCAUGAGAAUCGAUACAAAAUCCAAUCAAAUCACACUUAUUCAACUGAUUUGUGCAGGCGCUUAAUUUAGCUAUUCCUUUUUUAAAACUUUAAUCUAUGAAGACAGUAUUUGCAGAAAUAUAAUGUAUGUUGGUAUGUUUUAAAUGUUGAUUUUUAAAAAAAAUAAUUAAAUAAUAAAAAAAACUGUUACAUUUUAAUGAAAAUGAUAUUAGAACUUAAUUAAUUAAUUAGUUUUAAUUAAAGUACAAUUAACAAUUAGUAUGAACAUUUUAAUAUAGUUACCUAAGCAAAACUACACAAUAUGGUGAAAGGUGUGCAAGUCUCAUACAGUAUGUCUCCCAUUCCAGUUUAUUCUCCCUUUGCUGUUACAAUAACCUCCACUCUUUUAGUAAGGCUUUCCAGUAGAUUUUGGAGCAUGACUGAGGGGAUUUGUGAUCAUUCAAACACAAGAGCAUUAGUGAGGCCAGGCAAUGAAUUGAGGCAAGGACACAUGGGGUGCAGUCGUUGUUCUAGUUCAUGAAACACAAAGGUGUUCAGUGGGGUUGAGGUCACGUCUCUAUACAGGACACUUGAGUUCUUUCACUCCAGGCUCGGCACACCAUGUCUUAAUGGAGCUCGCUUUGUGCACAUGGACAUUGUCGUUGACAUUCUAGACAAUUUUUUGCUUCCAACUUUGUGGUAACAGUUUGGGGAAGAACCACAUAUAGGUGCGAUGGUCAGCUGUCCUCAAACCUUUGGCCUUAUAGUGUAUGUAUAGUAUUUCUUGACAUAAUUGAAUUAAUAUAACAGAUAGCAGGCACUAUGGGUGCAACAGGAUGCUGCAAAUCAUUGUCUUCUGCAUGUACUUCACCAUGGGAAAAGUACAUCAUACUGUAGCUUGACUAGUGUACACUAUCAUGUGUCUGUGUGCUGUUUCUUUCAUAUCUGCACAUACUGCUUUAUCCAACUCUUCUCUUAAUGCGAAAAAACCUUUCCCUUACCUGAGCAUUUCUCUCAUUACACACACACACACACACACACACACACACACACACACACACACACACACACACACACACACACACA